rnacentral:tRNA from 1 species
GGGGCUGUAGCUCAGUGGUAGAGCGCUUGCCUAGCAUGCAUGAGGCACUGGGUUUGAUCCUCAGCACCACA